UCUCCUUUCUCCAAUCAAUGAAACUGAUCUUCCCGUGAAGAAGCGGGAAUUGACUUAUAAGACGAGAAGACCCCAUGGAGCUUUAAACCCAAUUACAUCCUUAUAUCUUAUUUCCUUAUAACCUCUAAGGUAUUGUACAUCUGGUUUUAGGUUGGGGUGACCACGGAGCAUAAACAAGCCUCCAUGAUGAAUGGAAUUAUUCCCUUAUCCAAGAAUUACACUUCUAAGAAUUAACAUUUUAACAUUUAAUGAUCCAAUAAUUGAUCAACGAACCAAGUUACCCUGGGGAUAACAGCGCAAUCCAUUUCAAGAGCUCCUAUCGACAAAUGGGUU
rnacentral:rRNA from 1 species